AACGUAGGUGGCAAGCGUUAUCCGGAUUCACUGGGCGUAAAGCGCGUGCAGGUGGCUUCGUAAGUUGGACGUUAAAUCUCCCGGCCUAACCGGGAGGAGUCGUUCAAUACUGCGGGGCUGGAGGGCAGAAGAGGGGGGUGGAAUUGCUGGUGUAGUGGUGAAAUGCGUAGAUAUCAGCAGGAACACCUGUGGCGAAAGCGGCCCCCUGGUCUGCUCCUGACACUCAGACGCGAAAGCUAGGGGAGUGAAC
rnacentral:rRNA from 1 species